UACGAAGGGGGCUAGCGUUGUUCGGAUUUACUGGGCGUAAAGCGCACGUAGGCGGAUCGUUAAGUCGGGGGUGAAAUCCUGGAGCUCAACUCCAGAACUGCCUUCGAUACUGGCGAUCUAGAGUCCGGAAGAGGUGAGUGGAACUCCUAGUGUAGAGGUGGAAUUCGUAGAUAUUAGGAAGAACACCAGUGGCGAAGGCGGCUCACUGGACUGGUAUUGACGCUGAGACGCGAAAGCGUGGGGAGCAAACAGG
rnacentral:rRNA from 1 species